rnacentral:rRNA from 1 species
CCUACGGGUGGCAGCAGUGAGGAAUAUUGGUCAAUGGGCGCAAGCCUGAACCAGCCAUGUAGCGUGAAGGAUGACUGCCCUACGGGUUGUAAACUUCUUUUAUAAAGGAAUAAAGGGUGUCACGUGUACCUUUUUGUAUGUACUUUAUGAAUAAGGAUCGGCUAACUCCGUUCCAGCAGCCGCGGUAAUACGGAGGAUCCGAGCGUUAUCCUGAUUUAUUUGGUGUAAAGGGAGCGUAGGUGGGUGGUUAAGUCAGAUGUGAAAGCUUGGGGCUCAACCGCGAAACUGCAUUUGAUACUGGCAGGCGUGAGUACAGUUGAGGUAGGCGGAAUGCGAGGUGUAGCGGUGAAAUGCUUAGAUAUCACGAAGAAUACCGAUUGCGAAGGCAGCUUACUAGACGGCCACUGACACUGAUGCGCGAAAGCGUGGGUAGCAAACAGGAUUAGAUACCCUGGUAGUC